rnacentral:rRNA from 1 species
CUACGGGCUGCUGCAGUGAGGAAUAUUGCACAAUGGGGGGAACCCUGAUGCAGCAACGCCGCGUGGAGGAUGACGCAUUUCGGUGUGUAAACUCCUUUUAUAUGUCAAGAAAAUGACGGUAGCAUAUGAACAAGCACCGGCUAACUCCGUGCCAGCAGCCGCGGUAAUACGGAGGGUGCAAGCGUUACUCGGAAUCACUGGGCGUAAAGGACGCGUAGGCGGGUUGGAAAGUCAGGUGUGAAAUCCUACAGCUUAACUGUAGAACUGCACUUGAAACUUCUAAUCUAGAGUAUGGGAGGGGGAGAUGGAAUUAGUGGUGUAGGGGUAAAAUCCGUGGAUAUCACUAGGAAUACCUAAAGCGAAGGCGAUCUCCUGGAACAUUACUGACGCUAAGGCGUGAAAGCGUGGGGAGCAAACAGGAUUAGAUACCCGAGUAGUC